AUGAACGCUAGCGGCAGGCCUAACACAUGCAAGUCGAGGGGCAUCGGGAUUGAAGCUUGCUUCAAUUGCCGGCGACCGGCGCACGGGUGCGUAACGCGUAUGUAACCUACCUAUAACAGGGGCAUAACACUGAGAAAUUGGUACUAAUUCCCCAUAAUAUUCGGAGAGGCAUCUCUCCGGGUUGAAAACUCCGGUGGUUAUAGAUGGACAUGCGUUGUAUUAGCUAGUUGGUGAGGUAACGGCUCACCAAGGCAACGAUACAUAGGGGGACUGAGAGGUUAACCCCCCACACUGGUACUGAGACACGGACCAGACUCCUACGGGAGGCAGCAGUGAGGAAUAUUGGUCAAUGGACGCAAGUCUGAACCAGCCAUGCCGCGUGCAGGAAGACGGCUCUAUGAGUUGUAAACUGCUUUUGUACGAGGGUAAACUCACCUACGUGUAGGUGACUGAAAGUAUCGUACGAAUAAGGAUCGGCUAACUCCGUGCCAGCAGCCGCGGUAAUACGGAGGAUUCAAGCGUUAUCCGGAUUUAUUGGGUUUAAAGGGUGCGUAGGCGGUUUGAUAAGUUAGAGGUGAAAUCCCGGGGCUUAACUCCGGAACUGCCUCUAAUACUGUUAGACUAGAGAGUAGUUGCGGUAGGCGGAAUGUAUGGUGUAGCGGUGAAAUGCUUAGAGAUCAUACAGAACACCGAUUGCGAAGGCAGCUUACCAAACUAUAUCUGACGUUGAGGCACGAAAGCGUGGGGAGCAAACAGGAUUAGAUACCCUGGUAGUCCACGCAGUAAACGAUGAUAACUCGUUGUCGGCGAUACACAGUCGGUGACUAAGCGAAAGCGAUAAGUUAUCCACCUGGGGAGUACGUUCGCAAGAAUGAAACUCAAAGGAAUUGACGGGGGCCCGCACAAGCGGUGGAGUAUGUGGUUUAAUUCGACGCAACGCGAAGAACCUUACCAGGUCUUGACAUCCUUUGACCACUCUAGAGAUAGAGCUUUCCCUUCGGGGACAAAGUGACAGGUGGUGCAUGGUUGUCGUCAGCUCGUGUCGUGAGAUGUUGGGUUAAGUCCCGCAACGAGCGCAACCCUUAUUACUAGUUGCCAGCAUUUAGUUGGGCACUCUAGUGAGACUGCCGGUGACAAACCGGAGGAAGGUGGGGACGACGUCAAAUCAUCAUGCCCUUUAUGUCCUGGGCUACACACGUACUACAAUGGCUAUAACAAAGAGAAGCGAAGCAGUGAUGUGGAGCAAAACUCAAAAAAGUAGUCUCAGUUCGGAUUGUAGGCUGAAAUUCGCCUACAUGAAGCCGGAAUUGCUAGUAAUGGCAGGUCAGCAUACUGCCGUGAAUACGUUCCCGGGCCUUGUACACACCGCCCGUCACACCAUGGGAGUUGGUAACGCCCGAAGUCAGUGACCCAACCGUAAGGAGGGAGCUGCCGAAGGUGGGACCGAUAACUGGGGUG
rnacentral:rRNA from 1 species